ACUUGACUCGCUGAACUGCUAUACAAGAAUCAUCACUUUAAUAUGUAAACGAAGUUUCGUAUACUUACAAUUUUGUUUUUCUGAAGUUCCGUAAUAGUAUGUUUUACUAUAGCUGAAUUAACGACGCAAUAACAUUGGUUACAUUUUCGAGCAUCAAACUCCUUAACCACGCUUCCACGUACGCCCUACGUUGAGGCUGUUAUCUUGCUGCUGUUCCUCCAAUUACAAAAGGUCAAAAGCGUUUCUCCUCAGGCAUUUGUUGAGGUCUCUGAAGCCUUUCCUGCUCUGCAUUAGGGAACACAAAUAGAGUAUCCAGUACCCAUCAUCGUGGACAAGAAGGCAAUGAAAAGCAAUAUGCGAGUGUUUUCGACAGUGAUGAACUCUUCAAAGCUCACUUCGUAUUCAGCACAUCAUACAGUGAAGCACUUUGCAGUUGCACCACAGCAGACAUCAGGAACAAAUUUACUGAGAGGUACCCAAAUGCAGCACAUCUGAGGCAGACAAACAGAUCAAGAGAUACCAGACAAAAAAGAAAGCAAGAAACAAAAGUAAAUUGCAGUUCUCAAGGAAAUAAAAGUCUUUGGCGUCAUCAAUAAACAUACAGAGCAGUCGGCUAGGUUUGAAGGAGAGAUGAGUCACUCAACUCCAGAAAGAGCUUCACAGUCCCAUCAACGUUCACGUUAUGGAAAAUCGCAGGGUGGAACAACAUGAUGCUUUGGAGAACAAACACAAACCCCCACCGAGAUCUCUAUGGUGUGAUGUGGAGCAAGACCUUCAGUUGGCUAAAAAAAAAAAUCAAUUUAGCACAUACAUUAAAUGUAAUGAGCAAGAGAGAGCAGAUAAACAACUUUCUCAUUCAUUACAAAUGAUCGCAUUUUUUAAAUGCUGGGUAGUAUUUUUUGCCAUCAUUUUGCCCCUCUUAAGUCUGUUUGAACUUCUUUUUUCCUUGGGUAUGAGGUUAUAAACUCUUUGAACGUAGAAGAUGACAUGCUUUGAUGCUUUUCUCUUUUCUGUCACCCUGUCAGAUGACACCUUCAAACUCAUGAAGAGCUCUGGGUUCAUAAUCAGAGUUCUCGAGAUUUUUAGACUGUGUGUGCAUAUACGACAAGCAGUCACUGAUUGAGAGAUAGAGCGUGAAGAAAUAGAGGAUCUAUAUCUUUAUUUGUAUUUUAUGUAAACAAGCAGUGGGCCUGUCUAUGGUGGUUUAAGCAGCUAAUGGAUGCUUGUGUGGGUGUAGAAUUGAUUCUAAAUGGUAAAAUCAUUUGGUAUGACAAUGGUAUCUGUUUUGUGAUAAUGAUGAGUAGUAAUCAAAACUAAAUCAAUUAAACUAUGUUUUCCCCUCUGGCCAUAAGAUUAUUUAAAGAUGAGAUAAACUGGCAAAACAAGAAGAGGGGAGUUUUGUAUCAUCCUAUUUUGCAUUAAUGACCAUAAUGGCAACAUUUAUUUUGCUUAUUACAUGGCUUCAUGCUGAAUAAAUA